rnacentral:rRNA from 1 species
UUGUCCUUAGUUACCAGCGAUUCGGUCGGGCACUCUAAGGAGACUGCCGGUGACAAACCGGAGGAAGGUGGGGAUGACGUCAAGUCAUCAUGGCCCUUACGGCCAGGGCUACACACGUGCUACAAUGGUCGGUACAAAGGGUUGCCAAGUCGCGAGGCGGAGCUAAUCCCAGAAAACCGAUCGUAGUCCGGAUCGCAGUCUGCAACUCGACUGCGUGAAGUCGGAAUCGCUAGUAAUCGCGAAUCAGAAUGUCGCGGUGAA